UGACAGAAAGAGCAGUGAGC
rnacentral:snRNA from 1 species